AUCAACCAAAUUAAAAAUGUGUGGUCACACUCCUUUUCCAGCACAAGAGCCUCGGUGGUGAUCGUGUUAUACGGCAACACCUUCGCCGAGCAUCGCUGCGUCACCGAAAUAACUUACAUCUCGCUAAUUGGCACGUUUUUGAAGCGAGAGCUUACGAUACACCCUGACAAUAUUACAUACGAGAUGCAAAAAAACUUAAAUUAGGACUUGCAUCGAAAAUAACAGCUCUGAGGGCGUGGUUAUCCCUUUGUGGGCCAAGGCAACAAAGUUUUGCACAUUUGUAGUGACGACUAGCCUAGCCUUUUAUCUAUAGCCCAGCCUCAGCCGCAUCACCACCAGAUCAUAGGAUGCACUAAGCCUACCAUAAGUAGUGAACCCAAGUGUCCCACAACAUUGGCCUGUUUGCCUCAGUCUGUUUGGCUUCCAGGCUAACGAGUGACCUUGAUGUCUUCACACUGAUGACUCCUCCCAAGCUCCAGGCGCCACCAUCAGGUAAGGCACGGGAAGUAAAAAUUAAAUAGAAAAUGUUCAAACACGUAAAAGGGGAAGGUGGAAUAAGAUGACAGAAUGUGCUAUUGAAGUAUUUGUACAAGAGUGAUCUCAUACUAUUUAGACGACAGGUAUAUUUCUUUUUCACCCCUCUCAUGUAAUAUAUCACCUCAUGAAACAACAUAUAUUUUAAUGACCAGUUUAUUAUAUGGUUUUAUAUAUGUACAAUAAGUAAUAAUACUAACACCACAAACUGAUGAUAAGCUGCAUCAAGUUAGAAGCAUUUUGACUGCACUCAUUCAGACUGAUGGUACAAUGAACGCAAGUGGAUGGUGUAUGACGCGACAGUGAACAAGGGUCACACAAGGGAGGAGUGGACGGAGAGGGGGAUAUCAUCACUCUGGUUCACAUAGCUCAGUGCUGGGAGAGAGGCUAGGUAGUGGAUAAUGUGCUAAAAGGUGGAUGCAGUGUGUCAUUGUGUUCCUCUCACUGUGACGCUUGAAGUUUUCUUUUUAAAUCUCAUCCAAGGCUUGCAAAGGAGGGAACAGAGUCUACUGGAAUCUAGCUUUUGUUGACUCUUCUCCUUCCCAUGCCACCCUCUUACAUUGAAUUUCCAAAUGGAGCAGAGCAUCAGAUACAUUAAUACAAAUAUAGUUAAAGAAUAGAAGUGCUGAAAAGAAGACUUAGCAAUUUCUGUUCAUCAUUACAGUGGUACAUAUCUGUUUAUAGCUAGUGGUGGUUCAUGAUGGAAACAAUGUCAUCAUCAUCCAUUUAUCAGCUUUUUUAUUUUUUUAUAUGGUGAGGUUAGACAUAUGAUAACCAUCCUCAACUGUCUCUGUCAAGUGUUUCUUCCUAAUUAACACCCAGAGAAGCUAGGUCCUCUGCAACACAUCUUCAGGUAUUUGUUCUGCCUGGUUGUCCAUGGCCAAGCACGAUACCAGCUAUACACCUCAACAUCCUUCUGUCACAUUAUAUCAGUUCAUCCUACAGUUUCUCAGCAGAGCCUGCACUUCCAUUUAUUUAACAACACAGAUCUAAUGCAAGUGUCAUGUACCUUACCAAUGUUAAACAAUAUCAAAUUCAUUAAUGUUUGCUUAUAGAAUCAACUGGGAAAGUGGUGGCACAUGGCAUCAACAGUGGUGAUGGUGGCAGUUACACCAUUGGGAAUAGUGCUGUUUGCAUCCCACUUCCUGCUGCUGGUCUUGUUUGCACUGUUUGUCUGCAACCUCUUUGUUCCAGUGAUAUACACCUCCCUCCAGGGUUAUAAACAGUAAGUAAAUGUUCUUAAAUGGUACUGAUACACUAAGAGAAGUAGCUGCCUGGCACCUGGGCAUAGACCUCUGUCAUGAACACCAUUUCAUAUGGAAUGAUCAUCGCUACUUCACGCUUAAGUACACUUGUAUCAUGGCACUUAUAACAGACUAGAAAGCUGCUCCACCAAACACAUGUUGAAACAAAGUAUCACAAGCUACACUACUCUCAAAGCUCUGCCAUUACUCAUUACAUAUUUUCCUUUCCAGGAGUAUCUAUGGACCAUGGGGUGAAGCACACAUAGAAGACAGAUAGAAAAUUGCCUUAACAAAAUACACCAAUUAUUUC